UACGGAGGGAGCUAGCGUUGUUCGGAAAUACUGGGCGUAAAGCGCACGUAGGCGGCGCAGCAAGUCAGGGGUGAAAUCCCGGGGCUCAACCCCGGAACUGCCCUUGAAACUACAGUGCUAGAAUUCUGGAGAGGCGAGUGGAAUUCCGAGUGUAGAGGUGAAAUUCGUAGAUAUUCGGAAGAACACCAGUGGCGAAGGCGACUCGCUGGACAGACAUUGACGCUGAGGUGCGAAAGCGUGGGGAGCAAACAGG
rnacentral:rRNA from 1 species